rnacentral:tRNA from 1 species
GCUCAGUGGUCUGUCGGUUAAGGACUUCGGCUCGAGACUGGCAGGUCCUGGGUUCGAAUCUCGCUCGUGAGGCG